CCUUUAGAUGAUGAAAAGAUGAUCUCGUACAUCCUCCCAGGUCACGAUAUCGAGUAAAAUCCAAUCGUGUCUACCAUUAUCGCACAAGUAGAACCAAUUUUGGUCAAUGAAUUAUAUGCUCAGAUGUUAAGUUUUGAAA